ensembl:snRNA U1 U1 spliceosomal RNA
AUACUUACCUGGCAGGGGCGAUACCAUGAUCACGAAGGUGGUUCACCCAGGGUGAGGCUCUGCCAUUGCACUUGGGUGGUGCUGACCCUUGCGAAUUCCCCAAAUGC